rnacentral:rRNA from 1 species
GAUGAACGCUGGCGGCGUGCCUAACACAUGCAAGUAGAACGCUGAAGGAAGGAGCUUGCUCUUUCCGGAUGAGUUGCGAACGGGUGAGUAACGCGUAGGUAACCUGCCUGGUAGCGGGGGAUAACUAUUGGAAACGAUAGCUAAUACCGCAUAACAGUAGAUGUUGCAUGAUAUCUACUUAAAAGGUGCAAUUGCACCACUACCAGAUGGACCUGCGUUGUAUUAGCUAGUUGGUGAGGUAACGGCUCACCAAGGCGACGAUACAUAGCCGACCUGAGAGGGUGAUCGGCCACACUGGGACUGAGACACGGCCCAGAAUCCUACGGGAGGCAGCAGUAGGGAAUCUUCGGCAAUGGACGGAAGUCUGACCGAGCAACGCCGCGUGAGUGAAGAAGGUUUUCGGAUCGUAAAGCUCUGUUGUAAGAGAAGAACGAGUGUGAGAGUGGAAAGUUCACACUGUGACGGUAUCUUACCAGAAAGGGACGGCUAACUACGUG